rnacentral:tRNA from 1 species
CCCUUGAUAGUUUAACGGUAGAACAAUUGGUUGUAGCCCAAUUAGCGCUGGUUCGACUCCGGCUCGAGGGA